rnacentral:rRNA from 1 species
UACGAAGGGGGCUAGCGUUGCUCGGAAUCAUUGGGCGUAAAGGGUGCGUAGGCGGCGCGGUAAGUCGGGUGUGAAAUCUCGGAGCUUAACUCCGAAACUGCAUUCGAUACUGCCGUGCUUGAGGACUGGAGAGGAGACUGGAAUUUACGGUGUAGCGGUGAAAUGCGUAGAUAUCGUAAGGAAGACCAGUGGCGAAGGCGGGUCUCUGGACAGUUCCUGACGCUGAGGCGCGAAAGCUAGGGGAGCAAACAGG